CAGUAGCCGCGGGAAUACGUAGGUGGCAAGCGUUGUCCGGAAUUAUUGGGCGUAAAGGGCUCGCAGGCGGUUUGAUAAGUCUGAAGUUAAAGGCUGUGGCUCAACCAUAGUUCGCUUUGGAAACUGUCAAACUUGAGUGCAGAAGGGGAGAGUGGAAUUCCAUGUGUAGCGGUGAAAUGCGUAGAGAUGUGGAGGAACACCAGUGGCGAAGGCGACUCUCUGGUCUGUAACUGACGCUGAUGUGCGAAAGCGUGGGGAUCAAACAGGAUUAGAUACCCGCGUAGUCCCUGUCUCUUAUACA
rnacentral:rRNA from 1 species